AUGAAUGUGUUAAGCUGGAACUGCCGGGGAGGGAAUACCCGUACAGUUCGUGAGUUAGCAAAUUUCUCACAGUCGCAUUCCCCCAUAAUGGUAUUCUUGUGUGAGACCAGGCAAAAAGCUGAAAAGAUGAGGAGGAUUCGUGGCCUCCUUGGCUUGAAGGGGUUCACAGGUGUGGAUAGCAAUGGGAUGAGUGGUGGAUUGGCACGAGUCAUAUGA
rnacentral:rRNA from 1 species